GGUCGAUUAGCUCAGUUGGUUUAGAGCGUGGUGCUAAUAGCUUCAAGCCUGAUACGCCAAGGUCGCGGGUUCGACCCCCGUAUUGACCA